UAGGUUGUAAUACGUCUUGAUUUUGGAAU
rnacentral:piRNA from 1 species